rnacentral:rRNA from 1 species
AGAGUUUGAUCCUGGCUCAGAACGAACGCUGGCGGCAGGCCUAACACAUGCAAGUCGAGCGAGACCUUCGGGUCUAGCGGCGGACGGGUUAGUAACGCGUGGGAACGUACCCUUUUCUACGGAAUAGCCUUUGGGAACGAAGAGUAAUACCGUAUACGCCCUUCGGGGGAAAGAUUUAUCGGAGAAGGAUCGGCCCGCGUUAGAUUAGAUAGUUGGUGGGGUAAUGGCCUACCAAGUCUACGAUCUAUAGCUGGUUUUAGAGGAUGAUCAGCAACACUGGGACUGAGACACGGCCCAGACUCCUACGGGAGGCAGCAGUGGGGAAUCUUAGACAAUGGGCGCAAGCCUGAUCUAGCCAUGCCGCGUGAGUGAAGAAGGCCUUAGGGUCGUAAAGCUCUUUCGCCAGGGAUGAUAAUGACAGUACCUGGUAAAGAAACCCCGGCUAACUCCGUGCCAGCAGCCGCGGUAAUACGGAGGGGGUUAGCGUUGUUCGGAAUUACUGGGCGUAAAGCGCACGUAGGCGGAUUAGAAAGUUAGAGGUGAAAUCCCAGGGCUCAACCCUGGAACUGCCUUUAAAACUCCUAGUCUCGAGUUCGAGAGAGGUGAGUGGAAUUCCAAGUGUAGAGGUGAAAUUCGUAGAUAUUUGGAGGAACACCAGUGGCGAAGGCGGCUCACUGGCUCGAUACUGACGCUGAGGUGCGAAAGUGUGGGGAGCAAACAGGAUUAGAUACCCUGGUAGUCCACACCGUAAACGAUGAAUGCCAGUCGUCCGGGUAG